AGAUGGUAAAUCAAGCUAAACCAGAGAUGCAUGAAAAUGCUGCUGUGAUGACUCAAGGUACAGGAUCUGGACCUGCACCUUUUGCAGGCACUAUGGGUGAUCUAGUUCCAUCCAACAAUUUGAGUUCUGAUUAUGGAACUUCAAAUCUUGGAAUCAACUCUCAGUGUGGUGGAGGAGUUACGACUGAGGGAAAUGCUGUUAUUGGAGUUGAGCAGGUAACUUCAGAGUUGGCACCAGUUGCUUGGAAUGACAACCUUCAUGUACAGGACCUGCCCCUUUUGCAUGAAAAUGCUGCUGUGAUGACUCAAGGUACAGGAUCUGGACCUGCACCUUUUGCAGACACUAUGGGUGAUCUAGUUCCAUCCAACAAUUGUGGUUCUGAUUUUGGAACAUCAAACCUUGGAAUCAACUCUCAGUGUGGUGGAGGAGUUACAACUGAGGGAAAUGCCGGUAUUGGAGUUGAGCAGGUAACUUCAGAGGUGGCACCAGUUGCUUGUAACGACAACCUUCAUGUGCUAUAGAUGCAGAUCAAGGAUGAAG
rnacentral:lncRNA from 1 species